rnacentral:ncRNA from 2 species
AAUAUAAAUCAGGGGAGCUUAUGAAUAAGCUGAGAGUAAGGUUAGACCUUAGACCCUUUUAACCUGUUGGAUAAUGCCAUCGUAGGAAGUAUUUGUGAUGUUUUUU